CCUACGGGAGGCAGCAGUAGGGAAUAUUGCUCAAUGGGGGAAACCCUGAUGCAGCAACGCCGCGUGAAGGAUGAAGGUAUUCGUAUUGUAAAGUUCUUUUGUUAGGGAAGAUAAUGACGGUAUCUGACGAAUAAGCCCCGGCUAACUCCGUGCCAGCAGCCGCGGUAAUACGGAGGGUGCAAGCGUUAUACGGAAUUACUGGGCGUAAAGAGCGCGUAGGCGGGAUAGCAAGUCAGAUGUGAAAUCCUAUGGCUUAACAAUAGAACUGCAUUUGAAACUGUGAAUCUAGAGUGUGGGAGAGGUAAGUGGAAUUCUUGGUGUAGGGGUAAAAUCCGUAGAGAUCAGGAGGAAUACUCAUGGCGAAGGCGACCUGCUAGAACGUAACUGACGCUGAUGCGCGAAAGCGUGGGGAGCAAACAGGAUUAGAUACCCGGGUAGUC
rnacentral:rRNA from 1 species